rnacentral:rRNA from 1 species
UACGGAGGGUGCAAACGUUGCUCGGAAUCAUUGGGCGUAAAGCGCACGUAGGCGGCUCGUUAAGUCGGGUGUGAAAGCCCUGGGCUCAACCCAGGAAGUGCAUUCGAAACUGGCGAGCUUGAAUAUGGAAGAGGGUCGCGGAAUUCCCGGUGUAGAGGUGAAAUUCGUAGAUAUCGGGAGGAACACCAGUGGCGAAGGCGGCGACCUGGGCCAAUAUUGACGCUGAGGUGCGAAAGCGUGGGGAGGCAA